UGGCCCGAUACUGACGCUGAGGCCCGAAAGGCGUGGGGGAGCGAACCAGGAUUAGAUACCCUGGUAGUCCACGCCGUAAACAUUGUGCACUAGGUGUGGGAGGUUAUCGACCCCUCCCGUGCCGCAGCUAACGCAUUAAGUGCCCCGCCUGGGGAGUACGCCCGCAAGGGUGAAACUCAAAGGAAUUGACGGGGGCCCGCACAAGCGGUGGAGCAUGUGGUUUAAUUCGAGGCAACGCGAAGAACCUUACCCAGGCUUGACAUCCCGGGAAUCCCGCGGAAACGUGGAAGUGUCCUUCGGGGAAUCCGGUGACAGGUGCUGCAUGGCUGUCGUCAGCUCGUGUCGUGAGAUGUUGGGUUAAGUCCCCGCAACGAGCGCAACCCCUGUUCCCUAGUUACCAGCGGUUCGGCCGGGAACUCUAGGGAGACUGCCUGCGAUAAGCCGGAGGAAGGUGGGGAUGACGUCAAGUCAUCACGGCCCUUAUGCCUGGGGCGACACA
rnacentral:rRNA from 1 species